ANCUGUNGCCGCAGUACUUGAUGCCGCAGAGUGUGACUAGUGCCGCAGUACUCGACUGUGCCGCAGUACUGUGGCAGUACUCUGUGCCGCAUUACUUACUUACCGCUAUUCUGGGGGGGAGACUGAAAAAUAWAUAACUUUAUUUUAUAAUAAUAAGAAUUUUUUAUAAUGAGAACAAAAAUUACUGUAGGGAUAACAGCAUAUUUUUUUAAUAGUUUGUGACCUGGAUGAUGGACGAAGGAACAUUUUAUUAAGAAGGUAAAAUAGUAUGUUCUGUUCAAACAAAUAACCCUUACAUGAUCUGAGUUCG
rnacentral:rRNA from 1 species